UAAAGCUACAAAGAGCUAAUGGGGGAUGCCUAGGCAUUGACAGCCGACGAAGGACGUGUAAAGCUGCGAAAAUCCGCGGGGAACUGCUAAAAGGUCUUGAUCCGCGGGAAUCCGAAUGGGGAAACCCUAUAGAGAUAAUACUCUAUAAUCAACAGAUGAAUAAAUAGUUUGUUGAGGGAAAGCCUGUGAACUGAAACAUCUUAGUAACAGGACGAAGAGAAAAUAAACGAAUGAUUCCGAGAGUAGCGGCGAGCGAAAUUGGAAGAGCCCAAACCUUUAAUACGUGAUAGCCUGUAAGCGUUGUAUUAGAGGGGUAGUGGGACUUGCAGACAAGUUACAGAUUGUCAAGUCAGUGAGAAAAUUAUUUGAUAGCCAAAGUCAGUUGGGAAACUGCACCAUAGCAAGUGAUAGUCUUUUAGGCGAAAUCGAAUAAUCUGACGUAAGUAUCCCAAGUAAGGCGGGGCACGUGAAACCCUGUCUGAAUCGACCGGGACCAUCCGGUAAGGCUAAAUACUAGUCAGUGACCGAUAGUGAACGAGUACAGUGAUGGAAAGGCGAAAAGAACAGUGAGAAGCUGAGUGAAAUAGACCCUAAAACCGUUAGCUUACAAUCAGUUAGAGCCCUAUGAAUAGGGUGAUAGCGUGCCUGUUGAAGAAUGAGCCGGCGAGUUAAUUUAUGUUGCGAGGUUAAGGAGUUGAUAUCCGGAGCCACAGGGAAACCGAGUUUGAACAGAGCGUUAAGUAACAUGAAUUAGACCCGAACCUUGGCGAUCUAACCUUGACCAGGAUGAAGCGUAGGUAACACUACGUGGAGGUCCGAACCAACCGAUGUUGAAAAAUCGGUGGAUGAGUUGAGGUUAGGGGUGAAAUGCCAAUCGAGCCAAGAGCUAGCUGGUUCUCCCCGAAAUGCGUUUAGGCACAGCGUUGGACAUAUCUUACCGGAGGUAGAGCACUAGUCUGGUGCGGGCGGCGAAAUGCCGUACCAAAUCAUGUUAAACUCCGAAUACCGGUAACGUCAUUAUCCAGCAGUGAGGCUGCGAGUGCUAAGAUCCGUGGCCAAGAGGGAAACAGCCCAGAACGCCAGUUAAGGUCCCAAAUAUAUGCUAAGUGGUUAAGGAGGUAGAGCUGCUGAGACAACUAGGAGGUUGGCUUAGAAGCAGCCAUUCCUUGAAAGAGUGCGUAAUAGCUCACUAGUCAAGCGGCUCCGCGCCGAAAAUACACCGGGACUAAAGCAUAUAACCGAAACUGCGUCAUAUAAGCAAUUAUAUGGGUAGGGGAGCGUACUGUAGUAAGAUGAAGUUAGAUCGAGAGGACUAAUGGAUGAGGCAGUAGUGAGAAUGUCGGCAUAAGUAGCGAAAACAUUGGUGAGAAUCCAAUGCACCGAAAACCUAAGGUUUCCCACGGCAGGCUCGUCCGCGUGGGGUUAGUCGGAUCCUAAGGUAAGGCCGAAGGGCGUAGCCGAUGGACAUCAGGUUGAUAUUCCUGAACUGACAGUUAUUUGUAUGAUAGGCGGAGGGACGCAGGAGGAUAGACACGCAGCCGACUGGAUGUGGCUGUAAAGAUGUGUAGGUAGGGUUGACAGGAAAAUCCGUUAAUCCGUUAGAAACUGAGGCAUCGAGUAGGACACUCUACGGAGUGGAAGGUGUUGACUCCACACUGCCAAGAAAAGCUUCGCACUAGAGAAUAAUGGUCAUCCGUACCGAAAACCGCCACAGGUAGGUUGGUAGAGAAUACUAAGGUGCGCGAGAUAACUCUCGCUAAGGAACUCGGCAAAAUCACCUCGUAACUUCGGGAGAAGAGGUACCCUGGUAGAGUGAAGCGGUACACCCGUGGAGCUUGAUAGGGUCGCAGUGAAUAGGCCCAUGCGACUGUUUACCAAAAACACAGGUCUCUGCAAAGUCGAUCAAGACGAAGUAUAGGGGCUGACGCCUGCCCGGUGUCGGAAGGUUACGUGGAAGUGUUAGAAGCAAUUCGAAGCACCGAAACUAAGCCCCGAUGAACGGCGGCCGUAACUAUAACGGUCCUAAGGUAGCGAAAUUCCUUGUCAGGUAAGUUCUGACCCGCACGAAUGGCGUAACGAUAUGGGCGCUGUCUCGGCGAGAGGCUCGGCGAAAUUGGAUUAUCCGUGAAGAUACGGAUUACGUGUACCAGGACAGAAAGACCCUAUUGAGCUUUACUGUAGCUUGAAAUUGAAUUCGGGUUCUUAUUGUGCAGUAUAGGUGGGAGACAUUGAAGUCAGGACGUCAGUUUUGAUGGAGUCAUCGUUGAGAUACCACUCUGUAAUAAUUUGAAUUCUAACAACGAACCCUCGAAUAACAGGGCGUUGGACAGUUUCUGGUAGGCAGUUUGACUGGGGCGGUCGCCUCCUAAAGCGUAACGGAGGCGUUCAAAGGUUCCCUCAGGUUGGUCGGAAAUCAACCAUUGAGUGCAAUAGCAAAAGGGAGCUUGACUGCGAGACAAACACGUCGAGCAGGUGCGAAAGCAGGAUAUAGUGAUCCGGUGGUUCUGAAUGGAAGGGCCAUCGCUCAUCGGAUAAAAGUUACCAUAGGGAUAACAGGCUUAUCUCCCCCAAGAGUCCACAUCGACGGGGAGGUUUGGCACCUCGAUGUCGGCUCGUCGCAUCCUGGAGCGGUAGUACGUUCCAAGGGUUGGGCUGUUCGCCCAUUAAAGCGGCACGCGAGCUGGGUUCAGAACGUCGUGAGACAGUUCGGUCCAUAUCCGGUAUACGCGCAAGAGAUUUGAGUGGAGUCUUCCUUAGUACGAGAGGACCGGGAAGAGGGGACCUCCAGUGUACGGGUUAUCGCGCCAGCGGUAAACGCCCGGUAGCUGUGUUCCAAGCGGAUAAGUGCUGAAAGCAUAUAAGUACGAAGCCCACCACGAGAUGAGAUCUCUCAUAGCACAAGCUAGUAAGUCCCCAGACAGAUAAUCUGGUAGAUAGGUCAGAGAUGUAAGAGUGGCAACAUUUUAAGUCGACUGAUACUAAUCGGACGAGGGCUUUUCCUA
rnacentral:rRNA from 1 species